GACGAACGCUGGCGGCGUGCUUAACACAUGCAAGUCGAGCGGUAAGGCCCUUUCGGGGGUACACGAGCGGCGAACGGGUGAGUAACACGUGGGUGACCUGCCCUCAGCUCUGGGAUAAGCCCGGGAAACUGGGUCUAAUACUGGAUAUGACUCCAUGACGCAUGUUGUGGGGUGGAAAGCCUUGUGCGGCUGAGGAUGGGCCCGCGGCCUAUCAGCUUGUUGGUGGGGNGAUGGCCUACCAAGGCGACGACGGGUAGCCGGCCUGAGAGGGCGACCGGCCACACUGGGACUGAGACACGGCCCAGACUCCUACGGGAGGCAGCAGUGGGGAAUCUUGCGCAAUGGGCGAAAGCCUGACGCAGCGACGCCGCGUGAGGGAUGACGGCCUCGGU
rnacentral:rRNA from 1 species